ACUGGCGGCGUGCCUAUACAUGCAAGUCGAACGCACUCUCGUUUAGAUUGAAGGAGCUUGCUCCUGAUUGAUAAACAUUUGAGUGAGUGGCGGACGGGUGAGUAACACGUGGGUAACCUGCCCUAAAGUGGGGGAUAACAUUUGGAAACAGAUGCUAAUACCGCAUAAAACCUAACACCGCAUGGUGUAGGGUUGAAAGAUGGUUUCGGCUAUCACUUUAGGAUGGACCCGCGGUGCAUUAGUUAGUUGGUGAGGUAAAGGCUCACCAAGACCGUGAUGCAUAGCCGACCUGAGAGGGUAAUCGGCCACACUGGGACUGAGACACGGCCCAGACUCCUACGGGAGGCAGCAGUAGGGAAUCUUCCACAAUGGACGAAAGUCUGAUGGAGCAACGCCGCGUGAGUGAAGAAGGUUUUCGGAUCGUAAAACUCUGUUGUUGGAGAAGAAUGUAUCUGAUAGUAACUGAUCAGGUAGUGACGGUAUCCAACCAGAAAGCCACGGCUAACUACGUG
rnacentral:rRNA from 1 species